GAUGAGGAACGUAGCGAAAUGCGAUAAGUAAUGUGAAUUGCAGAAUUCAGUGAAUCAUCGAAUCUUUGAACGCACCUUGCGCUCCUUGGUAUUCCGAGGAGCAUGCCUGUUUGAGUGUCAUGAAAUUCUCAACCUUUUCAGCUUUCUUUGUUGAUCAGGCUUGGAUGUGGGAGUAUGCGGGCUUCUCAGAAGUCGGCUCUCCUGAAAUGCAUUAGCGGGACCUUUGUUGCCUGGCUUUGGUGUGAUAAUUAUCUACGCCAUUGUAGUCAAGCAGCUUAAAAUGAGGUUUCAGCUUCUAACCGUCUCCCCUGAGACAACUUUUUGACAAUUUGACCUCAAAUCAGGUAGGACUACCCGCUGAACUUAAGCAUAUCAAUAAGCGGAGGA
rnacentral:misc_RNA from 1 species